AGAGUUUGAUCAUGGCUCAGGAUGAACGCUAGCUACAGGCCUAACACAUGCAAGUCGAGGGGCAGCAUUACGGUAGCUUGCUACUGUAGAUGGCGACCGGCGCACGGGUGAGUAACGCGUAUCCAACCUGCCCAUGACUUGGGGAUAACCUUGCGAAAGCAAGCCUAAUACCCGAUACGCUUCAUAGACGGCAUCUGAAAUGAAGUAAAGGUUUACGGUUAUGGAUGGGGAUGCGUCCGAUUAGCUUGUUGGCGGGGUAACGGCCCACCAAGGCAUCGAUCGGUAGGGGUUCUGAGAGGAAGGUCCCCCACAUUGGAACUGAGACACGGUCCAAACUCCUACGGGAGGCAGCAGUGAGGAAUAUUGGUCAAUGGAGGCAACUCUGAACCAGCCAAGUAGCGUGCAGGAUGACGGCCCUAUGGGUUGUAAACUGCUUUUAUGCGGGGAUAAAUUGACUCACGUGUGGGUCAUUGCAGGUACCGCAUGAAUAAGGACCGGCUAAUUCCGUGCCAGCAGCCGCGGUAAUACGGAAGGUCCGGGCGUUAUCCGGAUUUAUUGGGUUUAAAGGGAGCGUAGGCCGUUGUUUAAGCGUGUUGUGAAAUGUCCCGGCUCAACCGUGGCACUGCAGCGCGAACUGGACGACUUGAGUGCGCGGAACGUGUGCGGAAUUUGUGGUGUAGCGGUGAAAUGCUUAGAUAUCACGAAGAACUCCGAUUGCGAAGGCAGCAUACGGCAGCGCUACUGACGCUGAAGCUCGAAAGCGCGGGUAUCGAACAGGAUUAGAUACCCUGGUAGUCCGCGCGGUAAACGAUGGAUGCCCGCUGUGCGCCAUUUUGGUGUGCGGCCAAGCGAAAGCGUU
rnacentral:rRNA from 1 species